UCUUUUCGUCUUGUGAUUUCGUUUUGAACACUUGAACUUUCGAAUUCUAAGCUUUCUUGAGUUUACAUUCUACAAGCAGAUAAUAGUUUUGCACUCGUAUUUGGUAUAUUUUGGGUGUCCCAGAAUUCGCGCCAUUCCCGUGAAUGACAUGUUCCCUGUCCCGAACUGUGCCGUAAUUCGCAAAAAGAAUUGUCCAGGCUUUAACCGUGUGAGAACUGGAAGGCGAUUAAGUUGACCAAUAGAGAGGCUGCUUUUAUAUCCGAACGUUUCUAUCACGGACUAAAAUAUGAAGGACAUUGUACUGUGUAGUUCGGAUGGCUCCGUUUUAUUUCCGUGGUGGCGCUGCGUGUUACUAGCCCUUGUUUUCCAUUGAAGUAAAGCGGUGUUAUUAUUGUUUCACCAAAUAUUUUUAAUAUAUGACAAAAACUUGGUAAUUCUUAUUAACCACAGUUAAUAAAAGAUGUAUCAGGCAAUUAAUGGAAAGUGACAAACGAAGAUGACGACAAGAAGUGGCAGUGGUUUGUACAGGUUACAAAGGUGAAACAGGUAAAUUUUCGUUAUUUCGUGCUCCACAUGAUGAAAAUCUAUUAUCUGAUAAAGAAAAAUACCUAGAGGAGAUCUCACAUCCCAUGACGUUGUGUGUGAAAGACAUUUUACUUCGCCAGAGAUAAUUAAGGAAUGGAAGUCUGGUUCGAUUUAAAUUCCGUAUAAGCGUCCAAAAUUAAAACAUGGGGCAAUACCAACAAUAUUUCCCAAUUGUCCUGGUUAUUUGACAACAACAGUAUCGAAAAGGAGGAUAAUCGAAAGACAUGAAAUUCCAUCGGAAAGGGCAAAAAUGGAGCAUCUUGAAAAUUUGGAACCUGUAGAUAAUUAAUCAAAGACCUAGACGUAAUUAAAAACCCUUUUAAGCAUUUGUUGGAUGUAAAUAUACCAUUUCGAUUGCCUUCUUUUUGUGAGGUUACCACAUACAUAGAGGGUGACACUAAAAAUGUAAUGUUUUCAAAAACAGUUAUCAAAACACAAAAGCCAAACGUGCAACAUGUUUUAGUGAAUGAAAAUUUUCAGUUAAAUUUUUUUGUAAAUCGGGUGGAAGUGAAUAUCGAAUGUAACCUUGAACAGAUUCGAAGGAAUGUGAAUUUGUUUGAGGACACCUUGGAGAAAUUUAUGUCAUCAGACAUUUGCAUUGGCGGAAAUCUCAGCCUUUAAAAAAACAAGUUAAAUUACGUAGUACUUAGCUUUGAACUAGCAGAUUCCUGAAAUGUGUCUUUAAAGUGUAUAUUUUUUAAUUUGUGUGACAUAAAAUUGUGACCUUUUCCACUUGCACUGAAGUUGAGGAACGUCAUAUUUUUUAGAAGAAUAUUUGA